rfam:Gossypium arboreum cultivar AKA8401 contig_93304_1, whole genome shotgun sequence.
GAGAGCCAAAUGAAUCGAAAGGUUCAUGUUUGGUUCGGGAAGGGAUCAUGGAAUUUUUGAAAUAAAAAAAAAAAUGAAUGGAAAGAUAAUCUACUUUCAU